GGGUUGUGAGGUUAAGCGACUAAGCGUACACGGUGGAUGCCCUGGCAGUCAGAGGCGAUGAAGGACGUGCUAAUCUGCGAUAAGCGUCGGUAAGGUGAUAUGAACCGUUAUAACCGGCGAUUUCCGAAUGGGGAAACCCAGUGUGUUUCGACACACUAUCAUUAACUGAAUCCAUAGGUUAAUGAGGCGAACCGGGGGAACUGAAACAUCUAAGUACCCCGAGGAAAAGAAAUCAACCGAGAUUCCCCCAGUAGCGGCGAGCGAACGGGGAGCAGCCCAGAGCCUGAAUCAGUGUGUGUGUUAGUGGAAGCGUCUGGAAAGGCGCGCGAUACAGGGUGACAGCCCCGUACACAAAAAUGCACAUGCUGUGAGCUCGAUGAGUAGGGCGGGACACGUGGUAUCCUGUCUGAAUAUGGGGGGACCAUCCUCCAAGGCUAAAUACUCCUGACUGACCGAUAGUGAACCAGUACCGUGAGGGAAAGGCGAAAAGAACCCCGGCGAGGGGAGUGAAAAAGAACCUGAAACCGUGUACGUACAAGCAGUGGGAGCCUCUUUUAUGGGGUGACUGCGUACCUUUUGUAUAAUGGGUCAGCGACUUAUAUUCUGUAGCAAGGUUAACCGAAUAGGGGAGCCGAAGGGAAACCGAGUCUUAACUGGGCGUUAAGUUGCAGGGUAUAGACCCGAAACCCGGUGAUCUAGCCAUGGGCAGGUUGAAGGUUGGGUAACACUAACUGGAGGACCGAACCGACUAAUGUUGAAAAAUUAGCGGAUGACUUGUGGCUGGGGGUGAAAGGCCAAUCAAACCGGGAGAUAGCUGGUUCUCCCCGAAAGCUAUUUAGGUAGCGCCUCGUGAAUUCAUCUCCGGGGGUAGAGCACUGUUUCGGCAAGGGGGUCAUCCCGACUUACCAACCCGAUGCAAACUGCGAAUACCGGAGAAUGUUAUCACGGGAGACACACGGCGGGUGCUAACGUCCGUCGUGAAGAGGGAAACAACCCAGACCGCCAGCUAAGGUCCCAAAGUCAUGGUUAAGUGGGAAACGAUGUGGGAAGGCCCAGACAGCCAGGAUGUUGGCUUAGAAGCAGCCAUCAUUUAAAGAAAGCGUAAUAGCUCACUGGUCGAGUCGGCCUGCGCGGAAGAUGUAACGGGGCUAAACCAUGCACCGAAGCUGCGGCAGCGACACUAUGUGUUGUUGGGUAGGGGAGCGUUCUGUAAGCCUGUGAAGGUGUGCUGUGAGGCAUGCUGGAGGUAUCAGAAGUGCGAAUGCUGACAUAAGUAACGAUAAAGCGGGUGAAAAGCCCGCUCGCCGGAAGACCAAGGGUUCCUGUCCAACGUUAAUCGGGGCAGGGUGAGUCGACCCCUAAGGCGAGGCCGAAAGGCGUAGUCGAUGGGAAACAGGUUAAUAUUCCUGUACUUGGUGUUACUGCGAAGGGGGGACGGAGAAGGCUAUGUUGGCCGGGCGACGGUUGUCCCGGUUUAAGCGUGUAGGCUGGUUUUCCAGGCAAAUCCGGAAAAUCAAGGCUGAGGCGUGAUGACGAGGCACUACGGUGCUGAAGCAACAAAUGCCCUGCUUCCAGGAAAAGCCUCUAAGCAUCAGGUAACAUCAAAUCGUACCCCAAACCGACACAGGUGGUCAGGUAGAGAAUACCAAGGCGCUUGAGAGAACUCGGGUGAAGGAACUAGGCAAAAUGGUGCCGUAACUUCGGGAGAAGGCACGCUGAUAUGUAGGUGAAGUCCCUCGCGGAUGGAGCUGAAAUCAGUCGAAGAUACCAGCUGGCUGCAACUGUUUAUUAAAAACACAGCACUGUGCAAACACGAAAGUGGACGUAUACGGUGUGACGCCUGCCCGGUGCCGGAAGGUUAAUUGAUGGGGUCAGCGCAAGCGAAGCUCUUGAUCGAAGCCCCGGUAAACGGCGGCCGUAACUAUAACGGUCCUAAGGUAGCGAAAUUCCUUGUCGGGUAAGUUCCGACCUGCACGAAUGGCGUAAUGAUGGCCAGGCUGUCUCCACCCGAGACUCAGUGAAAUUGAACUCGCUGUGAAGAUGCAGUGUACCCGCGGCAAGACGGAAAGACCCCGUGAACCUUUACUAUAGCUUGACACUGAACAUUGAGCCUUGAUGUGUAGGAUAGGUGGGAGGCUUUGAAGUGUGGACGCCAGUCUGCAUGGAGCCGACCUUGAAAUACCACCCUUUAAUGUUUGAUGUUCUAACGUUGACCCGUGAUCCGGGUUGCGGACAGUGUCUGGUGGGUAGUUUGACUGGGGCGGUCUCCUCCUAAAGAGUAACGGAGGAGCACGAAGGUUGGCUAAUCCUGGUCGGACAUCAGGAGGUUAGUGCAAUGGCAUAAGCCAGCUUGACUGCGAGCGUGACGGCGCGAGCAGGUGCGAAAGCAGGUCAUAGUGAUCCGGUGGUUCUGAAUGGAAGGGCCAUCGCUCAACGGAUAAAAGGUACUCCGGGGAUAACAGGCUGAUACCGCCCAAGAGUUCAUAUCGACGGCGGUGUUUGGCACCUCGAUGUCGGCUCAUCACAUCCUGGGGCUGAAGUAGGUCCCAAGGGUAUGGCUGUUCGCCAUUUAAAGUGGUACGCGAGCUGGGUUUAGAACGUCGUGAGACAGUUCGGUCCCUAUCUGCCGUGGGCGCUGGAGAACUGAGGGGGGCUGCUCCUAGUACGAGAGGACCGGAGUGGACGCAUCACUGGUGUUCGGGUUGUCAUGCCAAUGGCACUGCCCGGUAGCUAAAUGCGGAAGAGAUAAGUGCUGAAAGCAUCUAAGCACGAAACUUGCCCCGAGAUGAGUUCUCCCUGACCCUUUAAGGGUCCUGAAGGAACGUUGAAGACGACGACGUUGAUAGGCCGGGUGUGUAAGCGCAGCGAUGCGUUGAGCUAACCGGUACUAAUGAACCGUGAGGCUUAACCUUACAACGCCGAAG
rnacentral:rRNA from 1 species